AGUGAACGCUGGCGGUAGGCCUAACACAUGCAAGUCGAACGGCAGCACAGUAAGAGCUUGCUCUUACGGGUGGCGAGUGGCGGACGGGUGAGGAAUACAUCGGAAUCUACUUUUUCGUGGGGGAUAACGUAGGGAAACUUACGCUAAUACCGCAUACGACCUACGGGUGAAAGCAGGGGAUCUUCGGACCUUGCGCGAUUGAAUGAGCCGAUGUCGGAUUAGCUAGUUGGCGGGGUAAAGGCCCACCAAGGCGACGAUCCGUAGCUGGUCUGAGAGGAUGAUCAGCCACACUGGAACUGAGACACGGUCCAGACUCCUACGGGAGGCAGCAGUGGGGAAUAUUGGACAAUGGGCGCAAGCCUGAUCCAGCCAUACCGCGUGGGUGAAGAAGGCCUUCGGGUUGUAAAGCCCUUUUGUUGGGGAAGAAAAGCAGCAGGUUAAUACCCCGCUGUUCCGACGGUACCCAAAGAAUAAGCACCGGCUAACUUCGUG
rnacentral:rRNA from 1 species